CCUCAGAGACAUUGAAUGCAUCCAUCACUAUCGAUGUCAUUCAUAAAGCAGCUUUUCAAAUGCAUGUGGACAUCAAAAUGAUAACAGCAUGUUUGACAGGAAUAUCCAUUUCAGCAGUCAUCUUCUCUGUGGUUUUGUGCUGUCAAGAGUCUUGGAAAAGCAAAGACAAGAUUGAAGUGGUGACCACAAACACAGACACUGAAGUUGUUCUGGAGGUUUUUCCAGGAGAAAAUAUGAGGACAUAUAGUAUGAAAGAGUGAAAUUAAUCAUUUGAUUUUAAGGA